CCUACGGGAGGCAGCAGUGGGGAAUAUUGCACAAUGGGCGAAAGCCUGAUGCAGCAACGCCGCGUGAAGGAAGAAGGGUUUCGGCUUGUAAACUUCUAUCAACAGGGACGAAAGAAAUGACGGUACCUGAAUAAGAAGCCCCGGCUAACUACGUGCCAGCAGCCGCGGUAAUACGUAGGGGGCAAGCGUUAUCCGGAAUUACUGGGUGUAAAGGGUGAGUAGGCGGCAUGGUAAGCCAGAUGUGAAAGCCUUGGGCGUAACCCGAGGAUUGCAUUUGGAACUAUCAAGCUAGAGUACAGGAGAGGAAAGCGGAAUUCCUAGUGUAGCGGUGAAAUGCGUAGAUAUUAGGAAGAACACCAGUGGCGAAGGCGGCUUUCUGGACUGAAACUGACGCUGAGGCACGAAAGCGUGGGGAGCGAACAGGAUUAGAUACCCCAGUAGUC
rnacentral:rRNA from 1 species